UUAUAAGUUUUCUCAGUGUCUAAUGAUGAAUUUCAUAGGGCAGAUUCUGAGGUGAAAAUUUUAAUUCAUCACUGAUACUCCUACUGUGGAAUCUGAAGACACUUGAAAACUU
ensembl:snoRNA SNORD90 small nucleolar RNA, C/D box 90